rnacentral:tRNA from 1 species
GCCUGGCUAGCUCAAUCGGUAGAGCAUUUGACUCUUAGCGAACUACUAGUCAUCAAAAGGUUGCGGGUUCGAGCCCCGCGUUGGGCU